UACGGGGGGAGCAAGCGUUGUUCGGAUUUACUGGGCGUAAAGGGCGCGUAGGCGGCCACCGCAAGUCGGGUGUGAAACCCUCAGGCUCAACCUGGGGACGCCACCCGAUACUGCUGUGGCUAGAGUCCAGUAGGGGAGUGUGGAAUUCCCGGUGUAGCGGUGAAAUGCGUAGAUAUCGGGAGGAAUACCAGUGGCGAAGGCGGCUUCUUGGCCUAUUCUUGACGCUGAGGCGCGAAAGCUGGGGGGAGCAAACGGG
rnacentral:rRNA from 1 species